rnacentral:rRNA from 1 species
CACCGCGGUUAAACGAGAGGCCCUAGUUGAUAAUCUGACGGCGUAAAGAGUGGUUAGGGUAAAAAAAGAAUAAAGCCAAAUGCCCCCUUGGCCGUUAUACGCUUCUGGAGGCCCGAAGCCCUAGUAUACGAAAGUGGCUUUAGUUGAAUUCACCCGACCCCACGAAAGCUAAGAAA